ACCUGUUCCCAUUCCGAACACAGAAGUUAAGCUCACUCGUGCCCAAGAUAGUUCGCUGGAAACGGCGCGUGAAAAUAGGUAGUCGCCGACU
rnacentral:rRNA from 2 species